CACGCCGUAAACGAUGAAUGCCAGCCGUUGGGAAGUUUACUUCUCAGUGGCGCAGUUAACGCUUUAAGCAUUCCGCCUGGGGAGUACGGUCGCAAGAUUAAAACUCAAAGGAAUUGACGGGGGCCCGCACAAGCGGUGGAGCAUGUGGUUUAAUUCGACGCAACGCGCAGAACCUUACCAGCCCUUGACAUCCCGGUCGCGGUUUCCAGAGAUGGAAUCCUUCAGUUCGGCUGGACCGGUGACAGGUGC
rnacentral:rRNA from 1 species